AAUCAACGCUGGCGGCGUGCCUAACACAUGCAAGUCGAACGCGAAAGGGGCUUCGGUCCUGAGUAGAGUGGCGAACGGGUGAGUAACACGUGGGUGAUCUACCUUCGAGUGGGGGAUAACGUUCCGAAAGGAGCGCUAAUACCGCAUGACGUUCUGGGUUUGAAGACCUGGAAACCAAAGCCGGGGACCGCAAGGCCUGGCGCUAGGAGAGGACGCCCGCGCCUGAUUAGCUAGUUGGUGAGGAAUGGCUCACCAAGGCGACGAUCAGUAGCCGGCCUGAGAGGGCGGAC
rnacentral:rRNA from 1 species